rnacentral:rRNA from 1 species
UACAGAGGGUGCGAGCGUUGUCCGGAUUUAUUGGGCGUAAAGGGCGCGUAGGCGGUUUCUUAAGUUUGAAGUGACAGUGGGUGGCUUAACUACCCAAGGCCUUUGAAAACUGGGGAACUUGAGGACCAGAGAGGGACAUAGAAUUCCGGGUGGAGUGGUGAAAUGCGUAGAUAUCCGGAGGAAUACCAAAGGCGAAGGCAGUGUCCUGGAGGGUGACUGACGCUGAGGCGCGAAAGCUAGGGAGCGAAGAGG